rnacentral:tRNA from 1 species
GGCCGGUUAGCUCAGUUGGUUAGAGCGGGGUGCUAAUAACGCCAAGGUCACGGGUUCGAUCCCCGUAGUUUGAUCC